AUUCAACGCAAAUAGAUUACAAAUAAUUCAAUAAAAUAAUUGUUUGAGAGGUGAUAAUUGUUUUAAAGUUGAAAAAGUUGGAUAUUAGCAUAUUACAAUUCUUUGACAUGAACAUAACUAUGAAGAGGAUUCAUUCAUUAGAAGGGUUUGAACAAUGAAUGGCUGGGGAAAGCAACAGCAGCAGAAAUAAUGAAUAUAAAGAUUAGAACAUAGAACACAUUAGAUUGAAGUUGCAAAACCAACUGAACCACUGCAAUGGUAAUCUCCAAAUUACACGUGUUUACCAGGGGUGUUGUAUCUCUUCUCACCCAUCUCUUCUCACCCCUAGAUUUUCCACAUCUCAUCUUUUAUGCUAACAACUUUCAUUUGCUUAUGGACAGCCCAUAAAGGAGCAGGAAAAGGCAAGAGACAAAUUUGAGAGAAUGUAUCUGGGAUUAUACAUAUAUAAAAUUUCAAAAUCAUUUUCCCUCAUGGACAAGUGAAUUAUACAUGAAUAAUUUUUUUUUGGAGAAUAUUCUUAGUUACUUAGAAAUUGUCAAUUUCUCUUGU
rnacentral:misc_RNA from 1 species